UUGGUAAAUAAAGUGGCCAGCAGCCAAUGGU
rnacentral:piRNA from 1 species